GAGGCGGACGCGAGGACUGGAGGAUCGAGGACAGGAAGAUUGGUGGACUGGAGCAGCGGCCGGUGGGGAGGGCGCUCGGCGGCGGCCUGCGGCCAUGGCCACCGUGAUGGCAGCGACGGCGGCGGAGCGGGCGGUGCUGGUGAGGCGCGCGGGCCAGCGGGCGGGCCGGCGGAGCGGCGGGUCCGGGCGUGACCGCCUUGUCUGUCCCGCAGGAGGAGGAGUUCCGCUGGCUGCUGCACGACGAGGUGCACGCUGUGCUGAAGCAGCUGCAGGACAUCCUCAAGGAGGCCUCUCUGCGCUUCACUCUGCCGGGCUCCGGCACUGAGGGGCCCGCCAAGCAAGAGAACUUCAUUCUAGGCAGCUGUGGGUAAGCCUGGGCUGGGCGGAAACCGGGGAAAUGGGUACCUUGGGGGGUAGGAGGCAUGGUCAUAGCCCUGUCCUGCAGACCAGCUGGGUGUGCGAUGGGACAGGAGGGGCAGCCCGCCGGGAGGGAGGGCUGGGUGGUGGCGGGGUGACCACAGACACCGCUCUGACGCC
rnacentral:sRNA from 1 species